AACGAACGCUGGCGGCGCGUCUUAAGCAUGCAAGUCGAACGGCAAGAGAGGAGCUUGCUUCUCUCCUAGAGUGGCGGACUGGUGAGGAACACGUGGGUAAUCUACCCUUAAGAUGGGGAUAGCUGCUAGAAAUAGCAGGUAAUACCGAAUACACUCGGCAUAUCACAAGAGGUGUUGAGGAAAGGAAGCUACGGCUUCGCUUGAGGAUGAGCUUGCGUCCCAUUAGCUAGUUGGUGAGGUAAAGGCCCACCAAGGCGACGAUGGGUAUCCGGCCUGAGAGGGUGAACGGACACAUUGGGACUGAGAUACGGCCCAAACUCCUACGGGAGGCAGCAGCUAAGAAUAUUCCGCAAUGGACGGAAGUCUGACGGAGCGACGCCGCGUGGAUGAAGAAGGCUGAAAAGUUGUAAAAUCCUUUUGUUGAUGAAGAAUAAGGGUGAGAGGGAAUGCUCAUCUGAUGACGGUAAUCGACGAAUAAGCCCCGGCUAAGUACGUG
rnacentral:rRNA from 1 species